GGAUACAUUUCUAGCCUUGUCUUCUUUGUUGCGUUAUUAUGAUAUGUCUAUGAUACACUUAGUCCAAAUCUAGCCUAGAUAGAGUUCAAAAAGGAUAGGAGCUUCUCUUUAGAAGUUGAUAAGGCUUUAACACUUUUGUCUUGUCAACAUGAAGUUGGAAACCUCUUGUCUAGCCACAAUGAACUAGAUCCCUUAGAAAAGAUUAGGCAUUGAUGAAACUUGUCACCUCGAAAGGAGCAAUUAAACUAGAAACUAAGUUUAGAUCCAUAGAAAGGUACCCCACUAGUUCUAGCAAGGCCUAGUUACUGUACUGCAUACCAAAGAAAAAAACAAAUAGGCUUGCAAAAAGAGCAAAUGCAUACAUAAAAAAAAAAAAUUGAGGUAACCAAGAGCUAAAAAAAUAAUACCAAAAAAGUGAAUGCAAUAUGCAUAAGAAAAAAGCUCGUAAAAAAGUGAGAAGCCGGGUAGGUCAAGUAAUUGUGUUGGGUUCCCUAACUAUCAGAACUUUUAUCAGAAAACUUAACUAAGUAAAACCAGACAACCUUCCCUUAGUGUUCUAAACAUAGCAUCUAGUUUGAAGAGAACUUUGAAAAGAGGAGGAAUCCUUCUCGAUCCAUAAGUAGGGGAAAACGAGUCUAAGGUGUUUUCAAUCUUUUCAUAGGAUGUCUAGCAUCUGAGUAGCAAAAUUUGAGCGUCUUUCUAAAACGUGCUUGUUUUGGACGAACUUAGUUAAACCCGAACCUUAAGCGAUAAUUUGUAUUCUCUUUGAUAAUUUGAACUAGGUUGAAGCAUAGGUUUGGAUAGACUAUUAAGGCAUUAAGUAACGGAGUUUGGAUGACUUGUUAGAAAUGUAUCACCAAUAUACUUGCAUGAUUGUUUGUUUUUCUUCUUAAGUUGAUGUUUGCUUCCUAUGCAUGCUGCUUGACUGUUUGAUAUUCAUAUUACUCUGCUCGGGAUGAAGCUUAAGUGGAGGGUAAUUUGUUGGGGCAAAUAUUGACUCGUUUAAAGAUAGCUUAUUCUUAAUCCAUAUCAUGCACAUGUUCAUUAUUUUAAUAUUUUUAUGCAGUCGUACACCUUUUUUUGGAACGAACGCCACAAGUUCUUAAAUUAGGCAUAUUUUCUUUGGUGGAAAUGCAUUUUCACUGGUUUUUUACCUCGAACAAACGUUCGCCACUUUUUGAAAGCAUUUGUCAUCUUUUCGACCGUUUUGGGUUGCACUUUAGUCCUCCCUCCAAUGAGCUUACUUUCUAGCCUAUAUUCUAAGGAAAAUGUGGAAGGGAUAAUGCCACGAAUGUAGACUAAAGUCUUCAAAAUUUGAAUUCCUAAUCUAGAAAGGCUUAUCACCGAUACAAAACAUAAAAACCAUUGAAUGACCACUUUUGACGGCAAAAUAAAAAAACUAAGACCGAGGCAUUGUCAUUUGUCUUUUUUGGGACGAACACUAGAAGUUCUUAAACUUGGCCUAUUUUGUUUGCUGAAAAUGCAUUGUCAGUGGUUUUUAACACCGGACAAAUGUUUUCCACUUUUUAGAAGCAUCGGCCAUCUUUCCGACCAUUUUAGGUUGAAUCUUAGUCAUCCCUCCAACAAGCUUGCUUCCCGACCUAUACUUUAGAAAAAUAUCAAGAAUGUAGAAUGGAGUCUUUGGAGUUUUAAUUCCUAAGCUAGAAAGGCUUACAACCAAUACAAAACAUAGAAACUGUUGAAGGACCACUUUUGAUCCCAAAAUAAAAAAACUAAGUCUUGGGAAUUGUGGUUCAGUUGUUUUUGGGACGAACACCAGAAGUUCUUAAACUUGGCCCACUUUGUUUCCUAGAAAUGCAUUUUCAAUGAUUUUUGAUACCGGACAAACGUUCACCAGUUUUUGGAAUCAUUGGCCACCUAUUCGACCAUUUUGGGUUGCACCUUAGUUCUCCCUCCAACGAGCUCGCUUUCCAACCUAUAGUCUAGAAAAUGUGUAAGGGAUCAUGCUAGGAAUUUAGACUGAAGCCUUUCGAGUUUGAAUUCCUAAGCUAGAAUGGACCAAUACAAAACAUAGAAAUCGUUGAAUGACCACUUUUGACGGCAAAAUAAAAAACUGAAUACAAGGCAUUAUCGUUCGCCUCUUUUUGGGACGCACACCAGAAGUUCUUAAACUUGACCCAUUUUUUUGCUGGAAAUGCAUUGUAUGUGGUUUUUGACGCCGGAUAAACGUUUGCCACUUUUGGAAGCAUUGGCCAUCUUUUCGAUCGUUUUGGGUUAAACCUUAGUCUUCACUCCAAUGAGCUUGCUUCCGAACCUAUACUUUGGAAAAAUGUGUAAGUGACGAUGCCAGGAAUGUAGACUGGAGCCUUCAGAGUUUGGAUUCCUAAGCUAGAAAGGCUUACGACCAAUAAAAAACAUAAAAACCGUUGCAGAACCACUUUUAACCCCAAAAUAAAAACCUAAUUCCAAGGAAUUUUCGUUCGGCUACUUUUGGGACGUACACCAGAACUUCUUAAACUUUGCCAUCUUUCUUUGUUGGAAUUGCAUUUUCAGUGGUUUGUGACACCAGACAAACAUACACCACUUUUUGGAAGCAUUGGAGUUAGGGCAAUUAUUAACCCAUUUAUUUGUUAACUAUUCUCAAUCCACAGUAUACAUAUAUUCAUUAUUUUGAUUUUUGAGAAGAAUAUGAAAGAUGACUCCGAUAUGAACCCAACGCAACAAAAAUCAACUAAAACGGAGUCCAAACGAAGAAGAACGACCAAUUUGAAAAAUAUAUGCAAAUUGGUAAAUAUUCAAAAAGUCGUGACAUGCGUCAGUCAUCCACACACACGAAUAACCCAGACGUCACGAGUUUGAACCCCAAGCGAAGAGUUUAUUUUCCCGAUUUCUCAAAGCCAAAAGGACGUCAUUUUCAACCUCCCCUCUGCAACGUCAUCGGUUCGAAUCCCACAAACACGAAAUAAAAUCAAAUUUAUUCAAAUCCAUUCGCGCGUGCAUUAAUCCAACUUCGCCACUCUCCCUUCGCAAUGUGUCAGCUCUUGGUCGUGCACACCUCCUCCAUCCCACUCGAGUUCGAUCCUCAACGGCUGGAAAUUACAUUUUGAAGCAUAUUUUAGUGGCAUUUUUAUAAUUCUUUUGCAAAAAUUCAAAAAAUAACCAACUUUUCUGUCAUUUGAACAUGGAUGGCCUUUAGGUUCCAAUGCUUUUUAUGGUCAAAUAUUUUCUAUAUAUACCCAUUUUCCUCUAAAUUCAUCAUAUUCCAUCAUCAAUUCACUAUUUUCUCUCAAAUAAAUCUCAAAUUCUCCCAAAAUUCUCUCAAACUCCAUAAAUUACUUCUCCAUUCUGCCUUUUUCUGUUCUCUCAAUUUCCAGAAUUAUUUCUUGAUGGAAGGCUAAUCACCAAGAGGGGGAGGUUCCUAAAGUUGUCUCUUGUGGAGUAUGUGGCUUGCUAGGCCACCACAAUGAUCAAUGUCCAGAGAUUAAAGAGGUAAGUGUCAUGGGAGGUUAUAAAAGAAAUUAUUCACAGAGUAACACCUACAACUCUGGAUGGAGGGAUGAUCCAAAUCUUAGAUGGGACUCUUAAGAACCAAAACUUACCAACACAUUUUCAUCAUAAUCAUCACGAGGUACAUACCUAGAGGAAAUAGUCUCCAGGUUAGCUCUUAGCUCAAAUAGUUUUUAAACCGAUUUUGAGAAAGACUUAGUUAAGUUUUGUGAGCAAACUGUUGAUUCAACUGGAGCCAUGAAAAAUGAUAUAGAGAUCAUGAAAGCAUCCAUUUCCGAAUUAGGAGAAAAGCUUAAUCAAUUAGCAACACACGUUCUUAAAACAAAAGGGAAAGGCAAACUUUCCGUCCAAUCCAACCAUUCAAAUGUGACUGCUAUUACUUUAAGAAGUUGCAAAAUUUUGAAUAAGAAUGAUGAUUUCUUUUUGUCUCAAAAUGAUCUUAACUUAGAGAAUGUUGAUUCAAAUGCCAAAGAAGAAAAGAAGGUUAUCUCAACCAAGGAAGGAAUUCAAGGAUGAUGAAGAACUUUUUGAAGUCUUCAAGAAGGUAGAAGUAAACCUACCCUUCUUGACGGAAAUCAAGAGCAUACCAAGCAAGGAAAGACAAGAACAAAAAUGAAUAGAGGAACUAAACCGCUCGUCAUCGAUCCUGGAUGAGUUGGUGAAAGAACGGUCAAGCAACUGACCAUAAAAAUCUACGCUUCUUGGAGGCAGCCAGGCGUCAAAUUUUUAUACCAUAUUCUCAAUCCAUAGUAUGCAUAUAUUCAUUAUUUUAAUAUUUCUUAUAGAAUGUGAAAGAAGACUCUGAUAUGAACCCAACGCAAUAAAAAUCACCUAAAACGGAGUUCAAACGAAGAAGAACGAGCAAUUUGAAAAUAAGGGCAAAUUGGUAAAUAUUCAAAAAUUGUGACACGCAUCAGCCAUCCACAUGCACGAACAACCCAGACAUCACGAGUUCAAACCCCAAGUGAAGCAUUUAUUUUCUAGAUUUCUCAAAACCAAAACGUGGUCAUUCUGAUCCUCCCCUCCGAGACAUACGCCAUCAGUUCAAAUCCCACGAGAUGUGAAAUAAAACCGAAUUUAUUCAAAUCCAUCCUUGUGCAUGUUAAUCCGACUUUGCCACUCUCCCUUUGCCACGUGUCAGCUCCUAAUCACGUGCGCCUUUUCCGUACCACUCGAGUUCCAUCCUCAAUGGCUGCAAAUUACUUUAAGAAUAUUUCAGUGGCAUUUUCGUAAUUCUUUUGCAAAAAUCAAAAAAUAACCAAAUUUUCCAUCAUUUGAAGCUCGCGGUUGGCCUUGGGGU